GACGAACGCUGGCGGCGUGCUUAACACAUGCAAGUCGAGCGGAAAGACGCGGCGUUUGUUCCGUGCUCGUUUGGCGAGCGGGGGUGUGACACAUGAGUAACAUCCCCUUAUCUGUCUGGGAUCAUCACGGGAAUGGGGCGCAUACCGCAGAUAAUAUCCUGCUGCGUGGGGGGCAUUGGUAAAAGUCGGCUUUGGUGUCUCGACUAGAUGCUUCCGAGCCGCAUUAUCGGGUUGGUAAGGUACAGGCUUAUCAAGGCUACGAUGCGUGGCCGACCUGCGAGGGUGAUCGGCCACACUGGAACUGAGACACGGGCCAGACUCCUACGGGAGGCAGCAGUAGGGAAUCUUCCGCAAUGGGCGAAAGCCUGACGGAGCAACGCCGCGUGAGUGAUGAAGGUCUUCGGAUCGUAAAACUCUGUUAUUAGGGAAGAACAAAUGUGUAAGUAACUAUGCACGUCUUGACGGUACCUAAUCAGAAAGCCACGGCUAACUACGUG
rnacentral:rRNA from 1 species